GACGAACGCUGGCGGCGUGCCUAAUACAUGCAAGUAGAACGCUGAAGGAGGAGCUUGCUUCUCUGGAUGAGUUGCGAACGGGUGAGUAACGCGUAGGUAACCUGCCUGGUAGCGGGGGAUAACUAUUGGAAACGAUAGCUAAUACCGCAUAAGAGUAGAUGUUGCAUGACAUUUGCUUAAAAGGUGCAAUUGCAUCACUACCAGAUGGACCUGCGUUGUAUUAGCUAGUUGGUGGGGUAACGGCUUACCAAGGCGACGAUACAUAGCCGACCUGAGAGGGGGCUCGGCCACCCUGGGACUGAGACACGGCCCAGACUCCUACGGGAGGCAGCAGUAGGGAAUCUUCGGCAAUGGACGGAAGUCUGACCGAGCAACGCCGCGUGAGUGAAGAAGGUUUUCGGAUCGUAAAGCUCUGUUGUAAGAGAAGAACGAGUGUGAGAGUGGAAAGUUCACACUGUGACGGUAUCUUACCAGAAAGGGACGGCUAACUACGUG
rnacentral:rRNA from 1 species